GAGUAUGGGUAGUUAGUCGUUAAAACGAGACGAGACGAAACGAGAUAUUUAACGACUAACGGGUUAAUAUCCUAAAUAUCUAACCUACCCUACCCCUAACCACCCCCCCAACCGCCCAAACUCACUCACUCACACAUAUUACACGUUUGUUUCAGCCAAACACUUUUAACUCACACACACAACACCUAAAACACACACUAAACUCACGCAUAACACCAUUGUUGAGGAGUUGGAGCUUUUGACCUCCGAUUUGAGCACCGAGACGAGCGCCGAUCAUCUUUUCGAUCACGUAUCUAAGUAGGUCCUUUUGGGAAGUAACGACUUGAGGGAGAGAGUGACGUUACUCAUUGAUACAGAGACACAACGAGGUUGAGCUGAUGUGAUGAUGGUGCUGCAAUGAGCGGAGUCUCUAGGGUUGUUAAUAAAUAGUUAACCUGUCUAGAAUAUGUCUUCAUACAUAUGUCUAGCUACUUUCCGCUGCAAGAUGUUGUUGAUGUUAUAGUAUGUUAUGUCAUACUUUGAGUCUUAAGAGAAUGGUUGCAUAUGAUGUAUAACUUGAUUAAUGAUAUUAAUUAACUUUUAUGCAGUCUUUCAUAGACUGUUUUCAAUUGAGUAUUAAUGAAUAAAAAUGACGAGUUUUAUU